AUACGGAGGAUGCGAGCGUUAUCCGGAUUUAUUGGGUUUAAAGGGAGCGUAGGUGGGAUAUUAAGUCAGCUGUGAAAGUUUGGGGCUCAACCUUAAAAUUGCAGUUGAUACUGGUUUCCUUGAGUACGGUAUAGGUGGGCGGAAUUCGUGGUGUAGCGGUGAAAUGCUUAGAUAUCACGAAGAACUCCGAUCGCGAAGGCAGCUCACCGGGCCGGAACUGACACUGAUGCUCGAAAGUGCGGGUAUCAAACAGGAUUAGAUACCCUGGUAGUCCUCACAGUAAACGAUGAAUACUCGCUGUUUGCGAUACACUGUAAGCGGCCAAGCGAAAGCGUUAAGUAUUCCACCUGGGGAGUACGCCGGCAACGGUGAAACUCAAAGGAAUUGCCGGGG
rnacentral:rRNA from 1 species